rnacentral:rRNA from 1 species
UGCAUGGGGUGCAAACGUUGCUCGGAAUUAUUGGGCGUAAAGCGCGCGUAGGCGGUUAUCUAAGUCGGAUGUGAAAGCCCUCGGCUUAACUGAGGAAGUGCACCCGAAACUGGAUAGCUAGAGUACGAAAGAGGGUCGCGGAAUUCCCGGUGUAGAGGUGAAAUUCGUAGAUAUCGGGAGGAACACCGGUGGCGAAGGCGGCGACCUGGGUCGAGACUGACGCUGAGGCGCGAAAGCGUGGGGAGCAAACAGG